GGUCUGGAAAGUAGACCAUGCAUUGAGAUAUUGUAAACUUAGUCCUUGUUUUACACCGUAUACUGUUUCCGUAAUCUGUCCAUCACAUGUAGGUGAGUCUAGUGCACAAUCUACCAAAAUUGCGGCUUAUAGAAUCGGGCAGAACAUUUAGUUAUGCCACAAGGGUAAACCUAAUUAGAUGUCCUAGAAUAAUCAUCCCAGAUGGUUUACAAAAGACACAAAAAAAAACAAAAAACAACAAACAAACAAACACGUGGUGUCCAGGAUCUGGCAAAAAAAUUUUUGACUGCACAGUGUGGCAGUCAUUACGUAGUAUAUACUAUAUAGAUUAAU
rnacentral:lncRNA from 1 species